CCAAUUAGAUUAACACUACCUUCAGCUGCUCAACAUAUACCUUCUUUCUUGACUUUCUUAAUUUAGGAUGUUAUAGAAGUUUCUCUUCACAUUUAUUUCUUUCAUAAAAAAAAAAGGGUAUGAAAACUUACAAGGUGCAAGGCAGAGUUAUAUUGACAUUCCUCGUAGCAAACUUGAUCAUAUUCUUAUCUCUCAUAAAGACAAAACAACAAACCAUAAUCGAGUGGAGCGGAUUCUGCGCACCAAGGUGCACCU
rnacentral:lncRNA from 1 species